ACUUUGGUUCGCAACGAAUAACUACAGCUGUGGCGUAUUUCAAGUGACAUUACCUAAUGGUCGUGAACUCUUCCUUCACGGUGGUUUGACUUGCGGGUCAGAAACAACUCCCUGUCGGAGAUCCCUUCAGACUGUCAACAGCAAUUUCAGGAGUUCAGCAAUAAUCACACAACCUUCCAACGUUACAACGACUCCUGCCAAGAUCCUACACGAUAUCAUAUUCUGGUAUGAUGGAUCUGACUGUGACGUUUCCCAGUUGCGUUACUUGCUGCAGCGCACUCUGCGCACUCAGCUUCAUCACAUCCACUGCCUCGCGUUUAGCCGUACAUCUUUGCUCUCGUUCGGCACAGUGCCUGCUUCUUCCUUUUCAUCUAUUUCUCUCUCUUUGGCGGCAGAAAACAUGCACUGGCUGCAUUUUAUAUAGUGUCAUCUUGGGUUGAAAUGAAUGAAAUUAGUUUUUCCGAGUAAUAAAUGAUACCUUAGUAAAAAGAAGCAAUCUCACUUUACAUGAGGCGUUUAUCUUGUCCUGGGG
rnacentral:lncRNA from 1 species